AUUGAACGCUGGCGGCAGGCUUAACACAUGCAAGUCGAGCGGGGUGAUGGUGCUUGCACUAUCACUUAGCGGCGGACGGGUGAGUAAUGCUUAGGAAUCUGCCUAUUAGUGGGGGACAACAUCUCGAAAGGGAUGCUAAUACCGCAUACGUCCUACGGGAGAAAGCAGGGGAUCACUUGUGACCUUGCGCUACUAGAUGAGCCUAAGGCGGAUUAGCUAGUUGGUGGGGUAAAGGCCUACCAAGGAGACGAUCUGUAGCGGGUCUGAGAGGAUGAUCCGCCACACUGGGACUGAGACACGGCCCAGACUCCUACGGGAGGCAGCAGUGGGGAAUAUUGGACAAUGGGGGGAACCCUGAUCCAGCCAUGCCGCGUGUGUGAAGAAGGCCUUAUGGUUGUAAAGCACUUUAAGCGAGGAGGAGGCUCUUUUGGUUAAUACCCAAGAUGAGUGGACGUUACUCGCAGAAUAAGCACCGGCUAACUCUGUGCCAGCCGCCGCCGUAA
rnacentral:rRNA from 1 species